rnacentral:rRNA from 1 species
CAGCCGCCACGGUAAUACGGAGGGUGCAAGCGUUAUCCGGAUUUAUUGGGUUUAAAGGGUCCGUAGGCGGAUCUGUAAGUCAGUGGUGAAAUCUCACAGCUUAACUGUGAAACUGCCAUUGAUACUGCAGGUCUUGAGUAAAUUUGAAGUGGCUGGAAUAAGUAGUGUAGCGGUGAAAUGCAUAGAUAUUACUUAGAACACCAAUUGCGAAGGCAGGUCACUAAGAUUUAACUGACGCUGAUGGACGAAAGCGUGGGGAGCGAACAGGAUUAGAUACCCCCGUAGUCCCUGUCUCUUAUAC